GGAAGAAGGAAAGAAGAAAAGAAAGAAGAGUGAAAGAAGGAAAGAAGAAAGGAAAGAAGAGUGGAAGAAGGAAAGAAGAAAAUAAAGGAGAGUGAAGAAAGGAAAGAUGAGUGGAAGAAGGAAAGAAGAAAAGAAAGAAGUGGGAAAGAAGAAAGGAAAGAAGAGUGAAAGAAGGAAAGAAGAAAGGAAAGAAGAGUGGAAGAAGGAAAGAAGAAAAGAAAGAAGGAAAGACUGUAAGAAGGAAAGAAGAAAGGAAAAAAGAGUGGAAGAAGGCAAGAAGAGUGGAAGAAGGAAAGAAGAAAGGAGUGGAAGAAAGAAAGAAGAAAGGAAAGAAGAGUGAACAAGAGUGGCUCUGCAAGACAGUAAAGAGAGAGUGAAGAGGGAAAAUAUUGAAAGAAGGAGUGAAAAUGGAGUGAAGCAGAGAGAUGGAGUGUGAGAGAAAGUAGAGUGAGAGGGAUAGAGAGAAAGAUGGAGAGAAAAAGAAGUAGAGUAUGGAAGGUGUCUCUUAAUAUUCCUAGUUAUACAGUUGAAUGGAGAGGGACAGAGAGAAGAGGAGCCUUGGAACCUUGGCGCAGGUGUCAGUGAAGCACAGGUGCAAGCCAGUUUAAUUACCCUAUUAUGAUGUCAUAAUGGCCCAAUGUAAGUCAAUGGGAAAAUUUGUAUUAGUUUUUCUUUAAUAUCCUAAAAAGUAUAAAGUUUAGUGGAGACUAGUGUGGAGACUAGGGUGUAGGCAUGGGUGUAGAAAAGGGUGGAGGCACGGGUGGAGACUAGGGUGGAGAUAUUAAGUUUAGAAAAGUGAAAAAUACAUAGCAUAAGUGUCGUUUACAAGACAUACGCGACAAAGUUUGAACGGAGUUUCUAAGUUCGGUUCGAGCUGAAUUAAUCGCAGAAGUCGGUAAGAAGAAGAAGAAGUAUAAGAAGCCUAGGAAUAACAAUACAGGGCAUUUCAUGCACUGUAAUUAAAAACACAGACAUAUAAAAUAUCAACACAAACAACAUCACAACAACAAAC
ensembl:lncRNA